rnacentral:rRNA from 1 species
AGCAGCCGCGGUAAUACGGAGGGUCCAAGCGUUAUCCGGAUUUAUUGGGUUUAAAGGGUCCGCAGGCGGGAGAAUAAGUCAGUGGUGAAAUCCUGUCGCUUAACGAUAGAACUGCCAUUGAUACUGUUUUUCUUGAGUAUAGAUGAAGUGGGCGGAAUGUGUCAUGUAGCGGUGAAAUGCAUAGAUAUGACACAGAACACCGAUUGCGAAGGCAGCUCACUAAACUAUAACUGACGCUCAUGGACGAAAGCGUGGGGAGCGAAC